ensembl:ncRNA F43C9.9 ncRNA
CUUUUUCUUUUUUUUUUCGAUUUUUUUUGCUUUGCUCGCUCGCUGGCUCUCCUUCUGCACAAUGAAAUAAAAUGAACUUUGGGAGACCGAGAGCACAAACUUUCCCUUGCGAAAGGAGGAGAUGGAAAAAAGUUUCAAGAAAUGAUUGCGUGUCCCGCUCUCUCUGGAGACUUUCCAGCAGAAAAUUGUUUGGGGGCGACGAAACUAACAAACCUU